rnacentral:lncRNA from 1 species
GAAAUAAAAGUUUUUCACAAAAGACAUGUAUUUCCUGAAAAAACUCCUGUUAUAGCUGCUGUUUCCGUUGUGCUGUUGAUGAUUUUAAUAACUAUUGCAUGGUAAGGACUGUAAUUUUGCUAGAAACGAUGUUAUACAAAAUGUAAGACAACAAAUUAAAAAAAAUCGAAAAAAGCUAACAAUGUAAUGUCCGUCAAUGAGACAGCAACUUUACAACAGAAAAGUAUAGGUAUCUAAUGCAACUGUCAUUAAAAGUCAAUAUAUAUACGGAACAAGAUAUUUCCUAUGUUAAUAUCCUAUAAAUCGUUUCAGAAGACAAAGAAAGCUAAAACAAAAACAAAUAGAAACUGAGGAAAUUGCAUGAUUCUAAAAAGAAACAAUACCGGUUGUGUCGAUAUUGUUAUCGUCUCCUGCAUGCAUGCAUCACCAGCCAUGCGAAUAAACACUCCGUGGAAAUAGUAACAAUCAGUAAAAUUACAGCUUAAAUUACUACAGACUACGUAGACAUAUCAUAUUGGUGAACCAAUACGUAAUGGGAGACCAUAAAACGUGGGAAAGACUCACACAAAACACCAAGAUGACAGUUCUGGUUGAUCUCUAUCAAAUACCACUACAUCUAGUUUAUAAAAUGCUAUUCCAGUAAUCAAUAAAUAUACUGUUAAGUUUGCACUAAAACUAUUUAAUAGAGUUUAAAGUUUUUCAAAAGCUGAAUUUGACCACAAAUCUUUACAAAAUUGGAUGAUAUUAAUAUACAAAAGUAUUUUAAAAAUGCAAAUAUGUAUAUUUUAUGGUUUGGAUAUUGUCUGACAUUCCAACAAGCAACCAAAAAUUGUUUUAGUUGGUCUCUACUUGGUAACUAUGACAAAAGAAUAUUUACCAUUAGGAAUGUUCAUUUGAUUUAUUACAGAUUUUAUUGAAGAUUUCGAAGCUUAUGUGAAACGAAUGUGAUGAAUUCCAUAUCAUUAUUCAUAUAAACCUUCAAUCUCUUUUUGAACUUUUGUUAAAAUCGUUCUUAAAAUUGAAAGACAUAAGUGUAAAUGAUAGACCGAUUUGAUAAUAUUUCGUAAUACGUACUAUUUUUUAUUGCAGGUGCCUAAGAACACGCUAUAGGGAAUACAAUCCUGAUAUUGAUUUACCAUCAAUUCAGAGGGGACACUGAUUAAAGUUUGAUUGAGAUAAAAAAUAAAAACAACAUGAAAGGAGUAAAACAAAUUUUACCAGUAUACUCUUUUCAUGAAAGAAAAACAAACUUUGCCUGGCAUAAAACCAAGCAAAUACAUGGGUUGCUUUAUUUCCGAGAAGGAAAUUUCAUGCAAAUGUGAAGCGUUAAAGCUCAUACUAGACAAGAAUACAAUGUGACAAUCGUUACAUAUGUGACAUGUUUUGCAUAUUUGUAUCUCAACUUCACAAAAUGUGCACAGGGUUGAUUUGAUGUUCUACUAAACAUCUUUCUAAAGUUCUUUCCUACAACAUUUUUUCUGUAAUAUAUGAUUGUCUUCUGAAAAAUUCUGAUGAGUAGUUGUUAUCGUCACUCAGUUGGGUCAUCUUUAAAAUUAAAAAAGUUCUCUCUAAAUUCUUCAAUCACAAUUUCAACAGU